rnacentral:rRNA from 1 species
CGCGGCCUAUCAGCUUGUUGGUGAGGUAACGGCUCACCAAGGCAAUGACGGGUAGCUGGUCUGAGAGGAUGGUCGGCCACACUGGGACUGAGACACUGCCCAGACUCCUACGGGAGGCUGCAGUGGAGAAUCUUCCGCAAUGGACGAAAGUCUGACGGAGCGACGCCGCGUGAAGGAUGAAUGCCUUAGGGUUGUAAACUUCUGUCAGAGUUCAAAGAAGGGGAGUGGGCGAAACACCCGCUUCUUGACAUUAGGCUCAAAGGAAGCACCGGCUAACUCUGUGCCAGCAGCCGCGGUAAUGCAGAGGGUGCAAACGUUGCUCGGAAUCACUGGGCAUAAAGCGCGCGUAGGCGGUUGCGUCAGUGCGGUGUGAAAGCCCCCGGCUCAACCGGGGAAUUGCAUCGCAUACUGCGCGACUAGAGCACGAGAGGGGAGAGCAGAACUCCUGGUGGAGCGGUGGAAUGCGUAGAUAUCUCGAGGAAUGCCGGAGGUGAAGACGGCUCUCUGGCUCGUGACUGACGCUGAGGUGCGAAAGCUAGGGUAGCGAACGGGAUUAGAUACCCCGAUAGUCCUAGCCCUAAACGAUGGGCACUAGCUAGGGGAGGCUUCUGUCUUCUCUGGCCCAGCAAAUGCGAUAAGUGCCCCGCCUGGGGAGUACGG